GCAGCCGCCGCGGGAAUACGUAGGUGGCAAGCGUUGUCCGGUAUUAUUGGGCGUAAAGGGCUCGCAGGCGGUUUCUUAAGUCUGAUGUGAAAGCCCCCGGCUCAACCGGGGAGGGUCAUUGGAAACUGGGAAACUUGAGUGCAGAAGAGGAGAGUGGAAUUCCACGUGUAGCGGUGAAAUGCGUAGAGAUGUGGAGGAACACCAGUGGCGAAGGCGACUCUCUGGUCUGUAACUGACGCUGAGGAGCGAAAGCGUGGGGAGCGAACAGGAUUAGAUACCCCAGUAGUCCCUGUCUCUUAUAC
rnacentral:rRNA from 1 species